UGGGGAAUAUUGCACAAUGGGCGCAAGCCUGAUGCAGCCAUGCCGCGUGUGUGAAGAAGGCCUUCGGGUUGUAAAGCACUUUCAGCGAGGAGGAAGGUGGUGAGCUUAAUACGCUCAUCAAUUGACGUUACUCGCAGAAGAAGCACCGGCUAACUCCGUGCCAGCAGCCGCGGUAAUACGGAGGGUGCAAGCGUUAAUCGGAAUUACUGGGCGUAAAGCGCACGCAGGCGGUUUGUUAAGUCAGAUGUGAAAUCCCCGGGCUCAACCUGGGAACUGCAUUUGAAACUGGCAAGCUAGAGUCUCGUAGAGGGGGGUAGAAUUCCAGGUGUAGCGGUGAAAUGCGUAGAGAUCUGGAGGAAUACCGGUGGCGAAGGCGGCCCCCCUGGACGAAGACUGACGCUCAGGUGCGAAAGCGUGGGGCAGCAAACAGGAUUAGAUACCCCUGGUAGUCCAGCGCUGUAAAACGAUGUCGAUUUGGAGGUUGUGCCCUUGAGGCGUGGCUUCCGGAGCUAACGCGUUAAAGUCGACCGCCUGGGGAGUACGGCGCAAGGUUAAAACUCAAAUGAAUUGACGGGUCUAGCUG
rnacentral:rRNA from 1 species